GGGCGGGGGGUGCUAUACUGCAAGUCGAGCGGACAGAAGGGAGCUUGCUCCCGGAUGUUAGCGGCGGACGGGUGAGUAACACGUGGGUAACCUGCCUGUAAGACUGGGAUAACUCCGGGAAACCGGAGCUAAUACCGGAUAGUUCCUUGAACCGCAUGGUUCAAGGAUGAAAGACGGUUUCGGCUGUCACUUACAGAUGGACCCGCGGCGCAUUAGCUAGUUGGUGGGGUAAUGGCUCACCAAGGCGACGAUGCGUAGCCGACCUGAGAGGGUGAUCGGCCACACUGGGACUGAGACACGGCCCAGACUCCUACGGGAGGCAGCAGUAGGGAAUCUUCCGCAAUGGACGAAAGUCUGACGGAGCAACGCCGCGUGAGUGAUGAAGGUUUUCGGAUCGUAAAGCUCUGUUGUUAGGGAAGAACAAGUGCGAGAGUAACUGCUCGCACCUUGACGGUACCUAACCAGAAAGCCACGGCUAACUACGUGCCAGCAGCCGCGGUAAUACGUAGGUGGCAAGCGUUGUCCGGAAUUAUUGGGCGUAAAGGGCUCGCAGGCGGUUUCUUAAGUCUGAUGUGAAAGCCCCCGGCUCAACCGGGGAGGGUCAUUGGAAACUGGGAAACUUGAGUGCAGAAGAGGAGAGUGGAAUUCCACGUGUAGCGGUGAAAUGCGUAGAGAUGUGGAGGAACACCAGUGGCGAAGGCGACUCUCUGGUCUGUAACUGACGCUGAGGAGCGAAAGCGUGGGGAGCGAACAGGAUUAGAUACCCUGGUAGUCCACGCCGUAAACGAUGAGUGCUAAGUGUUAGGGGGUUUCCGCCCCUUAGUGCUGCAGCUAACGCAUUAAGCACUCCGCCUGGGGAGUACGGUCGCAAGACUGAAACUCAAAGGAAUUGACGGGGGGCCCGCCCAAGCG
rnacentral:rRNA from 1 species